rnacentral:rRNA from 1 species
AUGCUCUCGUCGCAGUCCUUGAGCCGCGUCAACAACAUUCGCACUACCUUGAUCAAUGCGCGGAAAGGGAACCAAUCGGUGGUCGCCUACUUCGCCCCCAUGCAUGGCCUUGCUGAUGAGCUCGCCGCGGCCGGCAAGCCCAUCCAGGACGAUGAGCUGAUCUCGUAUCUGCUUCACGGGCUGGACAUGGACUACCAGCCGCUCGUGUCUGCCCUGGAUGCCCGCGUCACACCGGUGUCCCUCGAUGAGCUCUACGCCAUACUGAGCAACUUCGACCAGCAAGUCGCCCAGUACCACAGUGCUGGCGGCGGGUUCAAGUCUUCGGCGAACGCAGCAACCCACAAGAGUGGUGGGUACUCCUCCCGUCACCGCGGUCCUCCUCGCACCAAGGGCAAGCACAACAGCGGCAACACCAACAACUCUGGCUCCCGCGGCGGUCACCCCAACUCCACCAACAACAGGGGUCGCUACGGCGGCUCCAGCCGUUCGCGUCCCGAUGCCGUUCCCGUCCCGAUGCCGUUCGCUGCCAAAUCUGCGGCAAACCAGGCCACACUGCCAAAGACUGUUGGUAUCGUUUUGAUGAAGAUGAUGCCUCCUCUGAAGAUGAUGACAAAGUUGUUGCCGCCGCUGAAGGAUCCUAUGGCGUCGACACAAACUGGUACCUUGAUAGUGGCGCAACCAAUCACCUCAUAG